rnacentral:rRNA from 1 species
AACGGGUGAGUAAUACAUAAGUAACCUGCCCUUUACAGGGGGAUAACUAUUGGAAACGAUAGCUAAGACCGCAUAGGUAAAGAUACCGCAUGGUAAGUUUAUUAAAAGUGCCAAGGCACUGGUAGAGGAUGGACUUAUGGCGCAUUAGCUAGUUGGUGAGGUAACGGCUCACCAAGGCGACGAUGCGUAGCCGACCUGAGAGGGUGACCGGCCACACUGGGACUGAGACACGGCCCAGACUCCUACGGGAGGCAGCAUG